rnacentral:rRNA from 1 species
UACGGAGGGAGCUAGCGUUGUUCGGAAUUAUUGGGCGUAAAGAGCGUGUAGGCGGCUUAGCAAGUUAGGAGUGAAAUCCCGGGGCUUAACCUCGGAAUUGCUUCUAAAACUGCUAAACUAGAGUAUGCAAGAGGGUGACGGAAUUCCUAGUGUAGGGGUGAAAUCCAUAGAUAUUAGGAGGAACACCGGUGGCGAAGGCGGUCACCUGGGGCAUUACUGACGCUGAGACGCGAAAGCGUGGGGAGCAAACAGG